AGAUUAAGUUAUUAAGGGCGCACGGUGGAUGCCUUGGCACUAGAAGCCGAUGAAGGACGUUACUAACGACGAUAUGCUUUGGGGAGCUGUAAGUAAGCUUUGAUCCAGAGAUUUCCGAAUGGGGAAACCCAGCAUGAGUUAUGUCAUGUUAUCGAUAUGUGAAUACAUAGCAUAUCAGAAGGCACACCCGGAGAACUGAAACAUCUUAGUACCCGGAGGAAGAGAAAGAAAAUUCGAUUCCCUUAGUAGCGGCGAGCGAAAUGGGAAGAGCCCAAACCAACAAGCUUGCUUGUUGGGGUUGUAGGACACUCUAUACGGAGUUACAAAGGACGACAUUAGACGAAUCAUCUGGAAAGAUGAAUCAAAGAAGGUAAUAAUCCUGUAGUCGAAAAUGUUGUCUCUCUUGAGUGGAUCCUGAGUACGACGGAACACGUGAAAUUCCGUCGGAAUCUGGGAGGACCAUCUCCUAAGGCUAAAUACUCUCUAGUGACCGAUAGUGAACCAGUACCGUGAGGGAAAGGUGAAAAGCACCCCGGAAGGGGAGUGAAAUAGAACCUGAAACCGUGUGCUUACAAGUAGUCAGAGCCCGUUAAUGGGUGAUGGCGUGCCUUUUGUAGAAUGAACCGGCGAGUUACGAUUUGAUGCAAGGUUAAGCAGUAAAUGUGGAGCCGUAGCGAAAGCGAGUCUGAAUAGGGCGUUUAGUAUUUGGUCGUAGACCCGAAACCAGGUGAUCUACCCUUGGUCAGGUUGAAGUUCAGGUAACACUGAAUGGAGGACCGAACCGACUUACGUUGAAAAGUGAGCGGAUGAACUGAGGGUAGCGGAGAAAUUCCAAUCGAACCUGGAGAUAGCUGGUUCUCUCCGAAAUAGCUUUAGGGCUAGCCUCAAGUGAUGAUUAUUGGAGGUAGAGCACUGUUUGGACGAGGGGCCCCUCUCGGGUUACCGAAUUCAGACAAACUCCGAAUGCCAAUUAAUUUAACUUGGGAGUCAGAACAUGGGUGAUAAGGUCCGUGUUCGAAAGGGAAACAGCCCAGACCACCAGCUAAGGUCCCAAAAUAUAUGUUAAGUGGAAAAGGAUGUGGCGUUGCCCAGACAACUAGGAUGUUGGCUUAGAAGCAGCCAUCAUUUAAAGAGUGCGUAAUAGCUCACUAGUCGAGUGACACUGCGCCGAAAAUGUACCGGGGCUAAACAUAUUACCGAAGCUGUGGAUUGUCCUUUGGACAAUGGUAGGAGAGCGUUCUAAGGGCGUUGAAGCAUGAUCGUAAGGACAUGUGGAGCGCUUAGAAGUGAGAAUGCCGGUGUGAGUAGCGAAAGACGGGUGAGAAUCCCGUCCACCGAUUGACUAAGGUUUCCAGAGGAAGGCUCGUCCGCUCUGGGUUAGUCGGGUCCUAAGCUGAGGCCGACAGGCGUAGGCGAUGGAUAACAGGUUGAUAUUCCUGUACCACCUAUAAUCGUUUUAAUCGAUGGGGGGACGCAGUAGAAUAGGCGAAGCGUGCGAUUGGAUUGCACGUCUAAGCAGUAAGGCUGAGUAUUAGGCAAAUCCGGUACUCGUUAAGGCUGAGCUGUGAUGGGGAGAAGACAUUGAGUCUUCGAGUCGUUGAUUUCACACUGCCGAGAAAAGCCUCUAGAUAGAAAAUAGGUGCCCGUACCGCAAACCGACACAGGUAGUCAAGAUGAGAAUUCUAAGGUGAGCGAGCGAACUCUCGUUAAGGAACUCGGCAAAAUGACCCCGUAACUUCGGGAGAAGGGGUGCUCUUUAGGGUUAACGCCCAGAAGAGCCGCAGUGAAUAGGCCCAAGCGACUGUUUAUCAAAAACACAGGUCUCUGCUAAACCGUAAGGUGAUGUAUAGGGGCUGACGCCUGCCCGGUGCUGGAAGGUUAAGAGGAGUGGUUAGCUUCUGCGAAGCUACGAAUCGAAGCCCCAGUAAACGGCGGCCGUAACUAUAACGGUCCUAAGGUAGCGAAAUUCCUUGUCGGGUAAGUUCCGACCCGCACGAAAGGCGUAACGAUUUGGGCACUGUCUCAACGAGAGACUCGGUGAAAUCAUAGUACCUGUGAAGAUGCAGGUUACCCGCGACAGGACGGAAAGACCCCGUGGAGCUUUACUGUAGCCUGAUAUUGAAAUUCGGCACAGCUUGUACAGGAUAGGUAGGAGCCUUUGAAACGUGAGCGCUAGCUUACGUGGAGGCGCUGGUGGGAUACUACCCUAGCUGUGUUGGCUUUCUAACCCGCACCACUUAUCGUGGUGGGAGACAGUGUCAGGCGGGCAGUUUGACUGGGGCGG
rnacentral:rRNA from 1 species